CGGCGACCGGCGCACGGGUGAGUAACACGUAUGCGACCUGCCCGUAGCAGGGGGAUAAGCGGAAGAAAUUCCGUCUAAUACCGCGUAAUAUCUUUCGGGGGCAUCCCUGAGGGAUUAAAGGAAGUGAUUCCGGCUACGGAUGGGCAUGCGGCGCAUUAGCUAGUCGGCGGGGUAACGGCCCGCCGAGGCGACGAUGCGUAGGGGUUCUGAGAGGAAGGUCCCCCACACUGGUACUGAGACACGGACCAGACUCCUACGGAAGGCAGCAG
rnacentral:rRNA from 1 species